GGUUAAGCGACUAAGCGUACACGGUGGAUGCCCUGGCAGUCAGAGGCGAUGAAGGACGUGCUAAUCUGCGAUAAGCGUCGGUGAGGUGAUAUGAACCGUUAUAACCGGCGAUUUCCGAAUGGGGAAACCCAGUGUGUUUCGACACACUAUCAUUAACUGAAUCCAUAGGUUAAUGAGGCGAACCGGGGGAACUGAAACAUCUAAGUACCCCGAGGAAAA
rnacentral:rRNA from 1 species